CUUUGCAGGGAGGAUGGUGCACCUUUCUUUCUGUCUUUUUGGUGCAAGGGUAAACAGCAUUCUUUCCAGAAUGGUCCAGGUUAAUCUUGCCAAGAAAUAGCAGCCCAGAUGGAGGGACCCCUCAGGGUUUCUCCAUUAUCUGAGGAUUGGCUCCCACAGGAGGAGUCAGUUAGAAAUAACGAUUCUUUCUUUGCUCCUACAGACUUGACGGACAUCGUGAGCUGCCUGCUGGAAGGAACCCCAGGCAGCAGGCCCUGCUCCUCGAUGGGAUCUGAAGGACCCUGAGCAUCCUCUCUACCCAAAAGGGACGCUUUGCACCUGCCCCCACCUUGCAUCCUCUGGGCUUUUGCUCUCUAAGCCUCUCAUUUAAAAGCAUCCCCAAAGGAAGAUGCCUUCAUACAAAGGUCUCAGGGAAAAGCAUUGACGUGCCUAUUGGAGGGGCUCUUCAUCUCCAGGAUGGCAGCGGGACCCAACUGAAGAGCCCGGCCAGGCACUGGGAGCACAGGUGCCUUCCACUAAUGAGGGCGUGCUGCCUGCUCCACACAUACACACAGGAAGAGGGCCUGGUGGACAUUUCCUGAUUCUACUCAUACGACAUGGCUAGAGCCUCAGGAACCUGUUUCGUCCCCUUCCUCGCCUGCUUGGAGCAUCCAAGGGCACAGGAAUAAAGGACCGGAGGCCAUGCCAUCAUUUGAAUCCAAGGAACAGUGUGAGUAGUCCAGGUGGCGAGCAGCCCCCUCAAGGUGAUGUGGAGAAGUGUGGCCCAGCCUGUCAUGUUAUUCAUCACCCAAAUCUUUCAUCCAGGAGAAGAACAGAGAGGUUAGAGGUGUGUGUUUAGGUGGAUUACAUUUUUUCUAAAGUGCGGAGAAGGACCCAGCGGCCUCAGCCCCAAGCUCAGCAUCCCGGAGGGAUUCUAUUUUCCAGGUAACUGCGCAGAUCAAGGCCUGAGUCUUCACCCCCAUGAGCUCUCACUGUCCGCUCUGAAUACUCUCUGCAACCCUUAUUCAUUUUUUUACCUACUUUGAUUUUUAAAAUAAGUCUGUCACUCAGAGUCUUCUAAACUAAAAAAUUCCAAAUGGAAACUAGACGUGCAGAGCCACUAAGUUAAAGGCCUUCCAGCAGCAGAAGUGGGGAUGGUUUUUCAUACGAAGCAGGCCAUGGUAAAGGGGGAGUGAGAGUCUCACUGCGGGAAGUAGAAAAGUUCCUUUUAAAGUUUCCUUUCUUGCUAAAGAAUCAGUGUGCUAAUAACUUUGUGAAGCUCUAUCCUAUGUAGCUGUUAGACAUGCCAUGCUUACAAGCAUGUAGUACAUUCUAUGUCCUUGUACUUUUUAACCAAGGUAUCUGCUAGACUUGCUCACAGGCAUGUCCCAGCUCUCCAUUGCUUGUACCUGUUUAGAAAAGUUUUAAGUUAUUAGCCAGUCGGGUUUUAG